rnacentral:tRNA from 1 species
UGCGGAGUGUCCGAAGUUGGUAUCGGGGAAGUCUCAUAAGCUUCUGCCUUUGUGCCUCGUGGGUUCGAGUCCCAUCUCCGCGACUA